rnacentral:rRNA from 1 species
UACGAAGGGGGCUAGCGUUGUUCGGAAUUACUGGGCAUAAAGGGCGCGUAGGCGGCUCUGAUCGUCGGAUGUGAAAGGCCUGGGCUCAACCUGGGAACGGCAUCCGAUACGGCGGGGCUUGAGUGUGGGAGAGGAUGGUGGAAUUCCCAGUGUAGAGGUGAAAUUCGUAGAUAUUGGGAAGAACACCGGUGGCGAAGGCGGAUCUCUGGGCCAUUACUGACGCUGAGGAGCGAAAAGCGUGGG